rnacentral:lncRNA from 1 species
UAUGGUGGCACGCUGCCCCACCCCAUACUUAGAAAUUCGACGAAUUUUUACACUCAAUUUAGGGUCCUAACUCAUUUGAAAAGGGGAAAUUCUCCGAAACUCUUCUCGAUUCUCAAACUCAACACAAAUACAUGAGGAAUUCAACUCAAUCCCUUUGGGAAACACAACUUAUACUAAAGAUUCACAACACACAAGAAAUUGCAACUUCCAUUGUCAAGAAAUUGAACAAAUAUCAAGAAACUAUACUCAAGAAACCUUUAGAUACAGUGAUUUU